UACGAGGGGGGCGAGCGUUGUUCGGAAUUAUUGGGCGUAAAGGGUGCGUAGGCGGUUCCGCAAGUCCUGUGUGAAAUCUUCGGGCUCAACUCGAAGUCUGCACGGGAAACUGCGGGGCUUGAGUGUGGGAGAGGUGAGUGGAAUUCCCGGUGUAGCGGUGAAAUGCGUAGAUAUCGGAAGGAACAUCAGUGGCGAAAGCGGCUUCCUGGUCCAGCACCGACGUUCAGGCACGAAAGCGUGGGGAGCAAACAGG
rnacentral:rRNA from 1 species